rnacentral:rRNA from 1 species
UACGAAGGGUGCAAGCGUUACUCGGAAUUACUGGGCGUAAAGCGUGCGUAGGUGGUUUUUUAAGUCCGUUGUGAAAGCCCUGGGCUCAACCUGGGAAUGGCAGUGGAUACUGGAAAGCUAGAGUGCGGUAGAGGGUAGUGGAAUUCACGGUGUAGCAGUGAAAUGCGUAGAGAUCGGGAGGAACACCAGUGGCGAAGGCGGCUACCUGGACCAGCACUGACACUGAGGCACGAAAGCGUGGGGAGCAAACAGG